UCUCCGUAGGUGAACCUGCGGAGGGAUCAUUACAGGGUUCAUGCCCUACCGGGUAGAUCUCCCACCCUAUGUUAUUAUUACUUUGUUGCUUUGGAGGGCCGUUAGGCUCCGGCCCGACUACCGGCCCCGGCUGGUAAGCGCCCGCCAGAGGACCCAAAACCCUGAAUAUUAGUGUCGUCUGAGUACUAUAUAAUAGUUAAGACUUUCAACAACGGAUCUCUUGGUUCUG
rnacentral:misc_RNA from 1 species